CCAAGAGCAGGCAGGACUCAGCAAUGACGACAAUGAAGCCUCCCUGCGUUUAUUGCUCUAGAUCCCAGAUUACCUGGUCCACUCAUGGAAACGAAGCCAUCCUGGGGUGAUCAAUGCCCAAGAUAUGGAAGCAGAUCCCACUAUGUGAUCUUCUAGCAGCUGCAGCAAUUCAUCCUUAUCCCAGGACAAAGAUGCUUAUACAGAUGUGGUGUCAACAGGAGAGAUGGACCGUUUGGCUCCAGACCCACUAGAUGGCCCCUCCCUCGGCGUAGAAGUGCUCACACCUCAACAAAAACCAAAACCACCUUUGAGUUGUACCUAAAGCCAGUUAAAAUCCCUAAACUCCAGCCUACUCCUAAACCCUUCCACCUGAAUCAAAACCAGGUCUUUUCAUUGUGCACAGAGCCAGCCUGAUCUCUCUCUCACUGUUCCCUCCCCCUCUCCUUGAGGUUAACUUGCCCAAUUAAAACUCUGACUGUGUGUUCCUA